GUAACCUGCCCAAGAGACUGGGAUAACACCUGGAAACAGAUGCUAAUACCGGAUAACAACACAAGACGCAUGUCUAGUGUUUGAAAGAUGGUUCUGCUAUCACUCUUGGAUGGACCUGCGGUGCAUUAGCUAGUUGGUAAGGUAACGGCUUACCAAGGCAAUGAUGCAUAGCCGAGUUGAGAGACUGAUCGGCCACAUUGGGACUGAGACACGGCCCAAACUCCUACGGGAGGCAGCAGUAGGGAAUCUUCCACAAUGGACGCAAGUCUGAUGGAGCAACGCCGCGUGAGUGAAGAAGGGUUUCGGCUCGUAAAGCUCUGUUGUUGGUGAAGAAAGAUAGAGGUAGUAACUGGCCUUUAUUCGACGGUAAUCAACUAGAAAGUCACGGCUAACUACGUGCCAGCAGCCGCGGUAAUACGUAGGUGGCAAGCGUUGUC
rnacentral:rRNA from 1 species